rnacentral:ncRNA from 2 species
CGACAUGCGGCGGGAGAGUCCUGCUGGUAACCGUCAGCAGGCGCCGUAGGAGCAAUACCUCCCCAGGAAUCUCUCAGGCACCUGUACCGCCGCGGAGAG